rnacentral:rRNA from 1 species
UACGUAGGGGGCUAGCGUUGUCCGGAUUUAUUGGGCGUAAAGAGCGUGUAGGCGGCCAUGUAGGUCCGGUGUGAAAACUCGAGGCUUAACCUCGAGAUGUCAUCGGAAACCAUUUGGCUAGAGUCCGGAAGAGGCGAGUGGAAUUCCUGGUGUAGCGGUGAAAUGCGCAGAUAUCAGGAGGAACACCGAUGGCGAAGGCAGCUCGCUGGGACGGUACUGACGCUGAGGCGCGAAAGCGUGGGGAGUGAACAGG